AGCUCCUUUAACAUGGUUGGAGCCACAAUCGAUGUUCAAUUUAGAAUCAUUAAACCUCGAUGUGCAAUCACGCGCACCUUAUUUAUGCAAUCGCAGUUACCUUAUUCUCACUGAAUAAAUCUCACGAAGAUCGAAUUUCAGAGAGAACAUCGAAACUUUGGAGAACUUGAAAUCGUAAUCUCUCAAUUGUUAUUCACGGUGAUUAUUCUUCCUUGCCGAGUGCGAUUCGUGACUUAAAAGCAAAGGACAAAGCGAGAUGGAGAAUAAGACGUUAUAAAAAUGCCAAACUGGACGAUACGGAAUAAACCAUUCGCUGUAGCAAGUAUUGAUUUAAAAGCUAUUGACAAUCCCGAAUACACUUGGGUAUGCUAUUCGACGAAACUUUUCUACUUUCUUACGGUGUAUACAAUCCAAUUUUUACCAUUGGAAGUUACGAAUGUUUCGACACAAAUAAGAAAGAACCGCCCGAAGAUGAACAGUAAAUCACCGAUCAUUCGUUGAAUUGCGAAGCUUAUCGUUAUUGAAGUCUUUGCGAUUUAUAGGACCGAGCAAUCGAGCGAACAAACUCGGUGUAUCUAUCUGGUAUCCGAUAAUAAUUCAUGCCCUUUCGUGACCAGUAAUAUGAGGGACUUGUCGGCUGCGUGCACACUGUGAUACGCGUACAUCUACUCACGACACAUUUCAAUAAAUUUACGUGCCGACGAUGGCGCGACCGCGUGUGCGUACCCAAUAUACAUGCGUCCGUGGAAUAACGGAUUUAUGAUGUAUGGUGUGCAAUAACAUGACGAACUGACGUUGCAGGAAUAAGAGCAUCUCGUAAUAUGAUUUUCUUCGCGAACAGAAAACGACGCUACAAUUUGAUGAAAUAUGGCCAGUAGGGCAGGAGGGAGGGAGAAGGAAAGGAAGAAUUUUAUUUGUAGUUAUUUCUUUCGACAAAAACAUCAAACGUAGAUUAAAUUAGGAUCUCUCUCAAGCUGUACAGAUUGACUUAUAUGAUAUAUAUUGAUAAAG